AUGUGGCGGGCGAGGGGAGUGGAGGUGGUGUCGGUUCAGUUUUUGGUGAGAGAAAAAAGUAUUUUUACUGAUAGAGAUUUUAGCUCCUCCCAAUUCUUGCUUAAAUUAUCCAACUCUUGGGUUAUAAAUUUGCUUUUUAGUGACAGCAUAGCUGCAGCCUGCAGGGUCUCUGAAGAAUGGGUCUUCAUCAGAGGGCAUGUCUCCUGGCAAGGGGGCAUUUGCUGCCUGCUGCCCAGCUCUGAGCAACAGCCCGGAGCCCUGCUGGCUGCUCUCCGAACCCUGAAGCCGGCUCUGAGUUCGACCAAUGCUCAGCCUUCGCUGGAGCGGCCAGGGCUCUCAUCUGCUGCUUCCAUUUCAGAUCUCUUCCUGUUUGGAAUUUCACAGCUCUGUGGUCAGCCUGAGCAAAUAAGAAUAUUGAUAGGCUUGAAAGGCAAGAACCUCUUCAGAGAAUGAACUUCAUUAGUCACUAACCCAAGAUCCCAUCAGCUGAGACAGAAUUUCCAGAGCAAAGGGAAGUGAGAGGUUCCCCCUGCCAUGCAACUUUGCAUCAUUCUAGAAAACAACUUUCAUUUAAAUUCAAACUUUUCAUUAUCUGUUAAAUAAAAAAUGUUAUGAGAAAACAUGGAAUUCACAUUCCCUUGAAAGCAAGAUCGGUUGGUCUCCAUUUUUCUCUUUGUCUUUUCUCACAUUCGAAGAAUUUGAGAAGAUGUUACACCUUGUCAGGAGUUAAUAGGUCUCUGGGGUGACGUUUUGUGGUUGUUGCCUCUCUAUUCUUUGGUCAGAGUCAAGUCAAAAGUGGGAGCUGCUGCCCUGGUGUGUUUCCCCAACUACUGUAUUUCCCUGGGCUUUGAAAACUCAUUCCUUCCCAAUCCCCACCCCAUUUCCUCAUCCCUUGAGCUUCUCUCCUGUACAUCUUUAUAUCUUUUCCAGGACACAUCCCCCUGGGCUGUGAAGUGCUUGGUUCUUCAGCUCCAUCCACUGUUCCAUUCCCCCCAGGGGUGUCUCACCUGCUUCCAUCACCUGCCACCCUCACCUGGACCCUCAUCCUGAUGUACUGACAACGCUCCUUCACAGUCACUCUACUUCCUGACUUCCUCUUUCCAGUGUCCAUCUUGCCAUCCUCUUAUCUCUGGCCCCUCUAGGCUCAGUCACCUCUGCCACAUUUUGUUUCCCUUACUCCUUUCUUGCUACCAAAAAGUGGUGUCUCUCUUACAUACCUCAUUCAUUCACAUCCCUCAUAAAAUACUUAUGAAGUGCCUAUUAGGCGACAGGCACUGUGCACCCUCUGUGCACCCAGGGAACUCAGGUUCUAAAUCACCUUUGUUGACUGGUCUCAGGAGAGAAAGGCUAUUUCAGAAAGCUACCAGGCAAUGAGCUUGCCACCCCUCCAGUAAAUGCACACUGAGUCUGACUGCUUGAUAGGCAUUCAGUGCAGGGUUUUUUUAUUUUUUAUUUUUUUAAAUGGAGUCUUCCUUUGUCACCCAGGCUGGAGUGCAGUGGCACAAUCUCGGCUCACUGCAACCUCCACCUCCCGGGUUCAAGUGAUUCUCUCACCUCAGCCUCCCUAGUAGUUGGGAUUACAGGCAUGCACCACCACGCCCAGCUAAUUUUUUUUUUUUUUUUCAUUUUUUGGUAGAGACAGAGUUUCGCCAUGUUAGACAGGCUGGUCUUGAACUCCUGAUCUUAGGUCAUCCAUCCGCCUUUACCUCCCAAAGUGCUGGGAUUACAGGCGUGAGGCACUGCGCCAGGCCGGCUUGCUGGUUUUGAUUCCAGCAGGCAUGUAGUGUGGGCAGUGUGUGUGUUAUGGUGGGAGAGGAAGGUGCAGGGGGAAGGGAUGUGCACACCAUAAACCUAUGACCUCAGUUCUCAGCUUAGAUUCUACCUAGAGCUGAAGCACUGGGGACAGAGCAUAGCCCACUGCUCUGCUGCUCUGACUUUGCUACCUUUUAGUCCCAAAGUGGAAUUCCAGCAUGUUCUGCCAUUCCCUGUCAUUCCUUUCUCCCCACCUUGUGGGCUGUCUACAAACCCUUCGUGGCAAGUCAGUAAGUUCUUCGGCUGUGUUUAUGCCCCUUCACUACAUCGAAUUCCUCUUCACCCCAGGAUUGGGGUGAGGGCCAUGGAGGGAGAGUGUGUCAAAAAUCAUUUCAGUCACUGCCACUCUUAGCACAUGGCCAGUCCUGAGGCAAGUCAAAUAUCCUUCCUUAGGCAAUGGACUUAGCCUGGCAAACAUCUUCUACCUAUUUGGGAUUGUGGGCCUGGGAGAUGAGGAAGCUGGAGUUGUGCUACCACAGAGAGAGGGAGAGGUGGGGCAAAGGGCUAAGUAUAAAACAGGUGGGCUCUGAUUGCGCCCAUUGCACCAUGGCUCAGAGCCUGGGAGCAGCUGGGACUCCUCUGGAAUCUACUUUCAUACCUCAUGUGGCUGGAAGAGCGCCUGACAAAGACAGCAAAUGUGAGGUUUCCCCUCACCAGGGAAUCUUGAAAAUCAGCCUUGAUUGUUCAUUCCCUUCCCAAUCAAGUCAGUCUUAUUCGAUGACAGAAGGAGGCUAGCCGUUAUCAUGAAUGAUUAUGGUAAUCGUAGCACGUAAAAGCAGACUCGUGUGUCCUUGGACAAGUUACCAAGCUUCUCCAUACCUCAGUGUUCUCAUCUGUAGGUUGGGGAGAAUAAUCAUAUUUGCCCCAUAUGGUUGUUUACAAUAACUACUUACAGAAGUGCCUAUAAUUUGUUAUCUGUUUAAAAUACAAGAUCUGAAAUUCACAAUAUCAUUAGGAAUUAUCUCAAAGAUUGAAGUUCAGAGAAGUUAAAUUACUCAUGCAGGCUGGGUGCCAUGGCUCAUGCCUGUAAUCCCGGCACUUUGAGAGACCGAGGCAGGGGAAUCACCUUAGGUGAGGAGUUUGAGACCAGUCUGGCCAACAAGGCAAAACCUCGUCUCUACUAAAAAUACAAAAAUUAGCUGGGCACGUGGUGCGUGCGUGUAGUUCCAACUACUUGCGAGGCUGAGGUAGGAGAAUCGCUUGAACCCAGGAGGUGGAGGUUGCAGUGAGACGAGAUCACGCCACUGCACUCUAGCCUGGGUGACAGAGAACCUGUCUCAAAUCCAUAAAUACAUAAAAAUAAAUAAAUUAGUCAUGCAGCUGUGAAGGCGUACGGGUAGGGUGUGGACUGGGUUCUUCCCAUACCUAAACCUCUGCUCUUUCAAGUUUGCUGCACAUCUACACUGUCUGAUUGUGGUGACUUCUGACGUGUUUCUUAGCCUCUGGGAAUCUGUCUCCAUUCACUGUGCCUGAAACUGCCUUUCUGAAAGUUGUGGUCAGGCCAGCAGCAGGAAUGUGUGAGAGGAGACUUAGCAUGCUGGUUUUUCUUUCUUACCUUGACAAUGUGGCUCCUUCUGGCAGCUUUUCUUCUGCAGAGGAAGGGAAGUACCUGGCAAUUAGGGGUGAGUUUUCUGUAAGGCCAAGGCUCUGGGAAGCAGCUACUGUUUUAGCUGCCACCACCACAGUAGCAAAAAAAAGAACAGUACUUCAACUGUGCAUGCAAGGAGGGCACGGUGCAUGCAAAGGAGGUAGUACCUGGCGGAGAUGCAUAACCUUGAAAAUAUGUAGCUGCGUUUCCCUAGUCCCCACAGCCUAGUGUGCUGUAAUACCAGUUGAACGGCCACUAAUUUGAUUCAUAUAAGAGAUUUGACCCUAUUCCACCAAGCUUUCUCCAGCCUGAAUUUCUCUUAUGUGUAGAGAGUACGUAGAGCCUUUUGCAUUUUUUUUUCAGCUGUUUAGGAACUCAGAUUUCUCUAUUCCACUUGGUCCCUGGUGAUCAAGGUCCCAAUGGCAAAGAUUUUUCCUCCCACGGUGCUGCCUCAUCUAUUAGUGUGCUAGUGCCGGCAGGAGAUGAGGGGGCAGGGGGUCGCUUAUUUGAUUGUCGUAUCAUUUAUGUGUCUGUGACUUCCAAUGCUAUUAUCUUUGUUUAGCACAAACGGAGAGCAGUUAGUGCUCCUGGUAAUCUAUCUCAGAAUCAAAAAGCUAUGGAGACAGAGACAGCCUCUUCUCCGAGCCUUUAUCUCUUACCACCAUCAUUUUCUCAGCUGGGAGCAGGCGACGACCCUGCUUCCAAUAUGCUGCUCAAUGAUUUUAGAUGAUUGAUCUUUCUAAAGUGCUUUUCCGUUUCUUGCCACACAGACACGGAUAGAUUAAGCAAUUAUGGAUUAUUUCAACAUCAGAUGGCCCAAGACAAUUAGUCAGAGGAGAAGCAAAGAAGUGGCCCUGCUGGCUUUUGGUGAAGGGGAAUUUUCAGGCGGAGGUAAAGGUGGAAGCAAGGAUGGGUUCGUUCAUUGGGAUGGACAGGUGGGGGACAGGACCUGGUUGAUCUGCGGGGUUGGGAGGGAAUAUACAUAUUUAUACAGUGGGAAUGGUUAGGAUUUUUUUAAAUGGGACUGUAGCAUAAGAACCCUCACUAUCUUUGAAUUAAACUAGCACUUUCUAGUAGCAUUCUUUUAAGGGAGAUUAGAUUGCUGAUGCUUCUUGGAGAAAAAAAAGUUGCAAGAAGGAGAGAGAGAGAGAGACUGAGUAGUGCAUGUAAUAAAAGACAAUAGAUUAGAUAGUCUCAGAAUGGAUCUGGGGCCCUAAAUCACUCCCAGGCCUGGCUGCCAGGGCACAGACUUCCCGAGCGGGGCCUUCAUGUUUUAUGGUGGCAGCGGCUCUCCAGGGAGUGAGUUACAACCUUGCCGUCAGUGGGCAGCUAUCUGUUAUCCUACAAGUAAACAGGUAUUCAAAUCCUGACUCCGGAACCUUCGCCUUGGCAUUUAAUCAUCCUGGUAAUCUAACCCCCGUCCCCCGCCAAGGUCGCUGUUUUGGAUUGCGUGACUUUCAG
rnacentral:lncRNA from 1 species